CCUACGGGUGGCAGCAGUAGGGAAUAUUGCUCAAUGGGGGAAACCCUGAAGCAGCAAUGCCGCGUGGGUGAUGAAGGUUUUCGGAUUGUAAACUCCUUUUGUUGGAGAGGAUAGUGAUAGUAUUUAUCGAAUAAGCACCUGCCAACACCGUGCCAACAGCCGCGGUAAUACGGAGUGUGCGCGCGUUCCUCGGAAUCACUGGGCGUAAAGAGCACGUAGGCGGGCUAGCAAGUCAGAUGUGAAAUCCUAGGGCGUAACCAUGGAACUGCAUUUGAAACUGUUAGUCUAGAGUAUGGUAGAGGGAGGUGGAAUUCUAGGUGUAGGGGUAAAAUCCGUAGAGAUCAAGAGGAAUACUCAUGGCGAAGGCGACCUCCUGGAACAUAACUGACGCUGAUGCGCGAAAGCGUGGGGAGCAAACAGGAUUAGAUACCCGAGUAGUC
rnacentral:rRNA from 1 species